GCCUACACCAUCUUCAUGAUUGUGACUUAACCUGAGGACAUCUCAAUAUAUAAUACAGGACAUAGAAUUUCGUUAGGUCAUUUUUAUUCAAAUAAACUCACCUUGUGACCUAAAUUUAUUUGUAAAAGAUAUUUUUAUAUUAACUACCAUUACUUAGCGACCCAGGCUAUCCUUGGCAGAAGGAAAAAUAAUAAGAGAAUAAUAGAAAUAAUAGGCUUCAAUAGUUUGUUUCACGACUACUGUCCAUCUGUAUAUGCCACCACUGGUUAUCACAGCUGCUAAAAUAGGACAUUCUGGUCGGCCCACACAGGACACCAGCACUGCUCAGAUUCAUCAGACCCUGAUGUGAAUGCUGGUUCCACGUUCUUAAAAAACUUUAAAAAAGCUGUAGAAAACACAAAUUGCUUAUGUUGUUAAAAGGAACAAUAAGCCCCAGAGUCACUUGCUAAUAAGCCCCACCAACUUACAUUACUAUCUAACCUAACUGCUGCUUCAGCCUCCUCCAGGAGUGGGAUUUUAGAGCAGUCUGGAAUUUCCUGGUCAGCACUAGUGAGGUAAUCAGCCUGAUAAGACCCCCUGGCCUUCCCCAAAGGGAAGGUAAUUUUUCCUGAAAUAAAACACUCUUUUGACUUUCUUGUCUCACCUUCCCACCUAUAAAAACUUUCCAUUUUGUGCAAUUCCUAGAUGGGACGGUGGCCUGAUUCAUGAAUCAUGGAAUAAAGCCAAAACAGCUUACUCAGUUGAACUUCUUUUGUUUUUUGUUUUUUAACAAUGUGGAAUGUUCCUUAGGAUAACCUCUCUAAAAUGAGACUAAUUUCCAUGGAAAUAAUCUGGCAAGUCUUUCGUGGAAUUCUAGUAGAGUUCUAAUGGUGCAAUAAAGGGCUGUAUCGUUAAAUGAUUUACUGCUGUGUAGGUGGCAAGUUUUGAAGUGUUUUCUUAGACAUAAAGGUAUAGUUCUUUUGGACUUAACAACAAAAUGUUUAUUUCGCACAGCUCGGUUCAUUCACUGUGCACUCUUAAGACAUGGAAAAACGUUUGAAAAUUAUUCAGGAAAACAGAAUAAGGAAUUAUGGGGUUUGUUGGGAAAGAUACAGAGAGUGUAUUUUCAGAGGUUGCUUGAAAAUAUAUAGGGGAGCUGAUUAGGUGCAGGCAACGCAGAAAGAAAAGCCUGAGUUAGCAGCAGCCUUAGGUUAUGUUCACUGUCCAGAAAGUUUGUGACCAUGAGUCCCUAGGAAAAAACUGUAUACUAAGCUGUAAGAUUCUUAGGAUUUCUCACUAAGGACAGCAAUUGUAAAUGCCAUAUAUGUUUAAAUCUUUAUUUCCAAACUUAGAUUCCUGGUUAUAUUAAAAACCUCAAGCAAAUGCAAAAGGAAAAAAAUAGACAUUUUAAUAACAUUUUAGAUACUACAGGUAUUACAUACUUAUAGGGAACAUGACUCAGCUCAAUAGAACUGAAUUUAUGAGCUACUCAGAGCUUUGGAGCUUUGUUGCAUUGGUUUCAAACAGCUCUUAGGGAAAAGUGGGUAUCUGUUGGCUGCUUCCUCAGGAUUCACUUCCUCUUUUGUCCAAACAUUUUCUAUCACAGGACUCACCCUAUUCCAGCACAAAGCAGCUGUGUGGUCUGCGUACCGAUCCCACCCCCAGGUGAGUCCAGCAGAGCAUCCUGCACUGACUGGCUCAGGGAUGGGCAUGUAUCAGAUUUCGACCAAUGAUAUGUGACUUAAUAAAGUCUCCUCCUAUGAAGUUUCCUUGCUCUCCUGGGAGAGCAAGGAUCUGCUCUCAAACAAGGGGAGGCCCAUUAAUGCUACCAGAAGGGGUGCUAGCCUAAAACAGUCUAGCACCUGGAGUAAGACAGCUGUAGGGAUCAGAGGGGAGUUGGUAUCUUGACAGCAUCACGAACCCAUGAAUCAAGACUCCCCUGAAGGCCUCAAAUCAGUACAGUCUGUGGACAAUUUGGUUGCAUGAAUCUAUAAAUACCUUACCUUUUUUUUUUUUUCCCUUUGCUGCUCCGCUUUGGUUCACACUUUCCAUUAUUUGCAACCAAAAGACUCUCAGCCAAUGUAGGAGCUAAUUUGGAACCCUGGAGGAAAGUACUGUGCUCAGGGGUCGGAGUUCUGGUUUAGUUCAACAUCACACGUGUUUGUGUGAUCUUAAGUGGGCUCUUUAACCAAAAACCUUUAAUCCUCAUUUGUAGAUAUGUAUGUAGGUGUGUAUAUAUCUAUACAUCCAUCCGUAUCCUCCAGAAUGGUGAAAUUCUUAAAAAAAAAAAAAAAA
rnacentral:lncRNA from 1 species